GACGUUAGCGGCGGACGGGUGAGUAACACGUGGAUAACCUACCUAUAAGACUGGGAUAACUUCGGGAAACCGGAGCUAAUACCGGAUAAGAUUUUGAACCGCAUGGUUCAAUAGUGAAAGACGGCCUUGCUGUCACUUAUAGAUGGAUCCGCGCCGUAUUAGCUAGUUGGUAAGGUAACGGCUUACCAAGGCAACGAUACGUAGCCGACCUGAGAGGGUGAUCGGCCACACUGGAACUGAGACACGGUCCAGACUCCUACGGGAGGCAGCAGUAGGGAAUCUUCCGCAAUGGGCGAAAGCCUGACGGAGCAACGCCGCGUGAGUGAUGAAGGUCUUCGGAUCGUAAAACUCUGUUAUCAGGGAAGAACAAACGUGUAAGUAACUGUGCACGUCUUGACGGUACCUGAUCAGAAAGCCACGGCUAACUACGUGCCAGCAGCCGCGGUAAUACGUAGGUGGCAAGCGUUAUCCGGAAUUAUUGGGCGUAAAGCGCGCGUAGGCGGUUUUUUAAGUCUGAUGUGAAAGCCCACGGCUCAACCGUGGAGGGUCAUUGGAAACUGGAAAACUUGAGUGCAGAAGAGGAAAGUGGAAUUCCAUGUGUAGCGGUGAAAUGCGCAGAGAUAUGGAGGAACACCAGUGGCGAAGGCGACUUUCUGGUCUGUAACUGACGCUGAUGUGCGAAAGCGUGGGGAUCAAACAGGAUUAGAUACCCUGGUAGUCCACGCCGUAAACGAUGAGUGCUAAGUGUUAGGGGGUUUCCGCCCCUUAGUGCUGCAGCUAA
rnacentral:rRNA from 1 species